AUUGAGCGCUGGCGGCAUGCCUUACACAUGCAAGUCGAGCGGUAACAGGGAGCUUGCUCCGCUGACGAGUGGCGAACGGGUGAGUAAUGUAUCGGAACGUACCUUUUAGUGGGGGAUAACGUAGCGAAAGUUACGCUAAUACCGCAUAUUCUCUGAGGAGGAAAGCAGGGGACCUUCGGGCCUUGCGCUAAUAGAGCGGCUGAUAUCAGAUUAGCUAGUUGGUGAGGGAAAGGCUCACCAAGGCGACGAUCUGUUGCGGGUCUGAGAGGAUGAUCCGCCACACUGGAACUGAGACACGGUCCAGACUCCUACGGGAGGCAGCAGUGGGGAAUUUUGGACAAUGGGGGCAACCCUGAUCCAGCCAUGCCGCGUGAGUGAAGAAGGCCUUCGGGUUGUAAAGCUCUUUCGGCCGGGAAAAAAUCGCAUGGGCUAAUACCCUGUGUGGAUGAUGGUACCGGAAUAAGAAGCACCGGCUAACUACGUGCCAGCCGCCGCAGUAA
rnacentral:rRNA from 1 species